CUCUCUCUCUCUCCACUCUAUCUCUCAGCUUCUCCUUCUCUCUCACUUCCGUCAUGGCCGCUGAAAAUGAUUAGACUGAGGAGGUCGUGGAAGGCGAAGGCGAGGACGGUGGUCAUGGAGUCGGAGGUCGGGGAGUCAUCUUAGAAACAGCUCGUGAACGCGGGUUCAACAACAAACACGGAACAUGGUCCGGGGACCCGCGAGCUGACGGAGCCUGGGGCUUUGGUCUGAUGCAUCGUUGUUCUCCCCUUUCUAGGUUACGGAAUAUCUUUACCCAAAUCAAUGUCUUAAUCAAGAUAGUGCUCUUGUUUUCUUGUAAUUUAUGAAGGGAAUCGAUAUUGGAUUUUU